rnacentral:rRNA from 1 species
GACGAACGCUGGCGGCGUGCUUAACACAUGCAAGUCGAGCGGAGCGGCGAACGGGUGAGUAACGCGUGAGUAACUGCCCCCAUCUCUGGGAUAACAGUUGGAAACGGCUGCUAAUACCGGAUAGUGGGGGAUGGCUCGCGUCCUAUCAGCUUUUUGGUGGGGUAGUGGCCUACCAAGGCGACGACCGGGAGCCGGCCUGAGAGGGCGACCGGCCACAAUGGGCUUAGAUACGGCCCAAACUCCUACGGGGGGCAGCAGGUGGGAAUAUUGCACAAUGGGGGAAACCCUGAUGCAGCAACGCGCGUGCGGGAUGACGGCCUUCGGGUUGUGAACCGCUUUCAGCCAUGACGCGGUAGUGGCAGAAGAAGCACCGGCUAACUACGUGCCAGCAGCCGCGGUAAUUC